UACGUAGGGUGCGAGCGUUAAUCGGAAUUACUGGGCGUAAAGCGUGCGCAGGCGGUUUUGUAAGCCAGAUGUGAAAUCCCCGGGCUUAACCUGGGAAUGGCAUUUGGGACUGCAAGGCUCGAGUGCGGCAGAGGAGGUUGGAAUUCCUGGUGUAGCGGUGGAAUGCGCAGAUAUCAGGAGGAACACCGAUGGCGAAGGCAGAUCUCUGGGCCGUUACUGACGCUGAGGAGCGAAAGCGUGGGGAGCGAACAGG
rnacentral:rRNA from 1 species